rnacentral:rRNA from 1 species
UACCAGCUCUCCGAGUGGUAGGGAUGAUUAUUGGGCUUAAAGCGUCCGUAGCCGGCUUAGCAAGUCUCCUGUUAAAUUCAGCGACCUAAUCGUUGAGCCGCGGGAGAUACUACUAGGCUAGGAGGCGGGAGAGGUCAACGGUACUUCCGGGGUAGGGGUGAAAUCCUAUAAUCCCGGGAGGACCACCAGUGGCGAAGGCUGUUGACUAGAACGCGCUCGACGGUGAGGGACGAAAGCUGGGGGAGCGAACCGGAUUAGAUACCCGGGUAGUCCCAGCUGUAAACGAUGCGAGCUAGGUGUUGGGGUGGCUACGUGCCACUUCAGUGCCGCAGGGAAGCCAUUAAGCUCGCCGCCUGGGGAGUACGGCCGCAAGGCUGAAACUUAAAGGAAUUGGCGGGGAGCACACAAGGCGUGAAGCUUGCGGUUC